rnacentral:rRNA from 1 species
CCUACGGGAGGCAGCAGUGAGGAAUAUUGGUCAAUGGACGAGAGUCUGAACCAGCCAAGUAGCGUGAAGGAUGACUGCUCUAUGUGUUGUAAACUUCUUUUAUAUGGGAAUAAAAUGUUCCACGUGUGGGAUUUUGUAUGUACCAUAUGAAUAAGGAUCGGCUAACUCCGUGCCAGCAGCCGCGGUAAUACGGAGGUUCUGAGCGUUAUCCGGAUUUAUUGGGUUUAAAGGGAGCGUAGGUGGAUUGUUAAGUCAGUGGUGAAAGUUUGCGGCUCAACCGUAAAAUUGCAGUUGAAACUGGCAGUCUGGAGUACAGUAGAGGUGAGCGGAAUUCGUGGUGUAGCGGUGAAAUGCUUAGAUAUCACGAAGAACUCCGAUUGCGAAGGCAGUUCACUGGACUGCAACUGACACUGAGGCUCGAAAGUGUGGGUAUCAAACAGGAUUAGAUACCCGAGUAGUC